CUUUUGCUGGCGACCGGCGCACGGGUGAGUAACACGUAUCCAACCUGCCCUUUACUCGGGGAUAGCCUUUCGAAAGAAAGAUUAAUACCCGAUAGCAUAAUGAUUCCGCAUGGUUUCAUUAUUAAAGGAUUCCGGUAAAGGAUGGGGAUGCGUUCCAUUAGGUUGUUGGUGAGGUAGCGGCUCACCAAGCCUUCGAUGGAUAGGGGUUCUGAGAGGAAGGUCCCCCACAUUGGAACUGAGACACGGUCCAA
rnacentral:rRNA from 1 species